CCGCGACCGCGAGCAAAGUGACGUCGCCGUCGCCGCUGCUGUGUUGCUGUUGCCUUUGCCGCGACGAAUCGCCGGAGCUUAGCUCCACUCUUGUGCUUUGUUUUCGUCCCUGCUCUACUUGAGCAGAGUUUUCCUAAAUGUUUCAGGUUGAAGCCAAAGUUAACCUUUGCAAGUUGAAGCUGAUACAAGCUGGAGUAGUAUUAUAGUUGCUAUCGAAGUGAGGACGCUUGACUUUGUAAUAGUUAAUUGUUUAUAAUCUAUAGUUAUUUCUACAUUUAAGAGUCGCUAGUUAGUGUUCCUGAUUCUCUAUUGGUUGUUGCUCCGCGAAAGCGUUGAGAUUGUUGAGCUUUGGGAUUUGGAAAUAUUUUAUAAAUUGAAUUUGCAAACAGGUUUAUAUU